AUCAACAAGGGGGUAGGGUUUAAGCGAGAGUCUGCAUCUCUGCAUCAUCGACCUGUGAUUCAUUCAACUUAUUGAUUCUUUACACUGCUACUCUAUCCCCCGAAACAAGAAAUGGCUUCCUUCUGCAGAUCAGCUCUAAUGGCCGGCUCGAGAUCCAUAGCUCGCUCAAGAACCCUCAGCCAGAGCUCCCUAAACUCCCUAAACCCUGCAGCCAUGUCGUCUCCAUUUGCUUCGGCCACCAGAACCAUCCCUUGCGCUACAAGGUUUGUUUCGGUAUUGGGAAGCAUGGAGUCAAUGAUGCCACUUCACAGUGCCAUUGCUUCUGCUCGGCUCAAAUCCAACAUUGCCGUCGAUUCCACCUGCUGGAGCUGCCUUUCUCAAGGUCUUGCAUCACCGUUGUGACAAGGCCCGCUGGCUAUCUGAGAAGCUGCAGUUCCUCGGUGAUAAAGACUCCAGGCUCAGGGCUUCUCGAUUCAAGCUGAACAUGAACCGAAUUUAACCAAGCAACCUGGCCUUGGUUCGAUCAAGUUGAACUCUACUGCGCUCCCCCUUAUGUGCUAAUGGCAUAUAAAUUGCAAUUUCUUAAAGGAUUUCUGUUCUGUGAUCAAUUUUGGGUUUUACUUCAACUUUUAGACAUUUGUGAUGGGUGAUGGCACAUGAUGUAACGAUUUCCGUGAAAACCUCUCGCAUCAUUGUAAUUCCAUUGAUUCGGUUGAUUAAGAUAACAUCCAUCUAGUGUGACUAGCAAGUUUCGAUCAAGUUCAUAAGAUUCAUGAGAAUUUGACCCAAA